GGCACUUUGGCCGAGUGGUCUAAGGCGCCGUGUUCAGGUUCUUGCAUCGGUUCUCCGAUCUCCCUAUUCGCGGUCUAGUAAUAGGCGAGGGUUCGAAUCCCUCAGGUGUCA